rnacentral:lncRNA from 1 species
AUUUGCCAAUAAUAUGUUUAUGUUGCCAUUCACCUACGAAGGCGAGACAUCGAAAAAGCAUCGACAAUCGGUGCCAGAUUGGUUCUCUCUGCAGUCGUAAAGCAUUCCUGGUGGGCAGCUACGCUUUAUCUUACUAAGAUCGAAGUGCUUGCACUCACAUAACUUCUCAUCCUUCGUGUAGAUGCAUCGCAGAGCCGUGUUUCCACUGCAUGUACUUGGCCGAUGGCCCCUUAAUCCGUGUCUCGAGCAGCGGCAGACUAUGAUGAUGCCGAGGAUGAGCCACACAACCGAUUGCAUUGCCCUCAACGAUAGUGAAAACACUGAAGAACGUUUAUGGCCAUUUAACAGCGAUGUGGCCACAUCUAAUCCGUUACGAAUUAGACCUGAAUUGUGGCAAAUUUGUGGCAUUGCUGAAUGCAGUUUUAAGCGGAAAGAGCGAAGACUCAUGAAAGUCGAAUCGAGCAAUCUUCUACACUAGGAAAUAUUUUGAUAAUAUUUUGGUAAGUGAUUGUAAACUCUUCAAACUGAUUCUUUAUGUUGUAAAGGUUGAAAAGCCCUUAUAUCCUGGAACCAUUUGGUGGAAAGGGUUAAGCACUUUUAGCACCAUUUCUUUUUUCUGCAAGUGUAACAAGUCAAGACCAAUUAGUGCCGGCCCGGUGGGCUCUGGUUGGAAAAUUAAUAAGCAAAGCUUGUCAGAUCGGGUCUGGGGAUGGGUUGGUCUGGUCUGGUGUGGAGCUGCACUCGUUGCGAGUCAGACUGGGACAUGCACAAAUCGCAUUUGAUUCAAUUGAAGCUCAAAAUUAUUGAUUGAAAGGCAGCAGCAGCAGCGGCAGCAGCAGCAUCAUCAAGCUGCAAGCUGAACAGCCAGAAAACCCAGCCCCGAUCCAAACUGGAGCAGAGUUUUCUUUAUGGAGGUGGUUGCGGUUGCGGAAAAUUGCUCGUUUGCACAUGAGCUCAGCUGAAAAUUGCAACGCGAGACACGUAGAAAGGAACCCUAGCCAAAUGAUUGGCCGUGUCAGAAAAACUUAUCACGAAUCUCUCGAAUGUCCGUCGGUUAUGUUGGUUAUUGGGUACGGUAUGGGAUUUGCUUUCCCCCUGCCUUGACAGCUUAUCAGCAGAACUCUGUGUUUUCAAUUACGCUCCGAGGAUAAUAUGCCAUAAGCCAAAGAAAUAGAGAGAGAACUUUUUCACCAUCUCCCAUUAGUUUUUGCUCUCGUGAAGUCUUCUGGAAUUGACUGCCAAUUGAAGCGGUUUCGAGGAGCAAUCAAACAAAUGCACACUAAGAACGAAAUCUUUUAACUAAGAUUGAGGAAACUUUAAGUAAGAGGUGCAUUUCAGAGGAUAUGUCUGAGAGGAGAAUAGUAAGAAUAUUUCAUUUGUUUCAGAUUCUUUUUAGCCCCUGAAUUUCUCUACCGUCUAAGCCAGGCUCUUCUACUAUAGAUUUAACGAUAAUAAGAAAAGACAGUGAGAAUUCGUCAGAUGUCUACAUUUUUUUCAUUCGAAAUCCAUCAAUUGAUCUCAGUUAAACUGCUCUAUAUAAAGCUUCGCAAAUUCAAUCUCAUCUAGAAAUAAAUAGCGACUUUAUGUACAUCAAAUUCAAAUGCACUUAAAGUCUUGAAAAUCUCUUGGAAAGCUGCUCACAAUGCCAUCGUUAAUGGAUCAAUGAAUGCAAUCAGCACCCACAUCCACAUCCACGUCCAGCAAUCAAUACUCAUUGACUCCGAUUGCAGAUUGCAAUCCAAGUUAAACCACAAACGCUUUGGGUGUAAGUGGAGGCCACUCGAAAGUCAUCAAAGCUGUUAUCUAAUGGAAUUCUUAAACUUCUGACCACCCCCCAGUCCAGCUCCAGACACACACCCCAUGGGGUGUGGACGUUGCACAGCUUGGCCAUAAUUAAACGUGCAACGCAUAAUGGCGCCCUAAUGGCUAAUGAGGGAGCCAGCAGGGUAGGGAAAUGGUUGGCAGGAGAAAUGCUAGAAAGGAAUGAGAGAGAUGCCAAGCUGAGAAAUUUGCAUUUUUAUACCAUGCACUCGAAAGACUAUUGCUACAGCAGAUAUAAAGCAGAGAAUGGGUUUUUUUUUUCAAACCUUAUGUCUGAAAUUAAACCCACAAUAAGUGUUGUUGCCAUUGCUAUAUACCUAGGUACACGGAACCAUCUGUUUUGGCUAAUAUUUUCGUCACCUACCUACCAAUUUUAACUUGUUUACGUACAUAGGUAAUAUUCAAUGGUCUGCAUGCCAUUCCUGUCUUGGCUGCCGCCAAUGGAAUUGAAAAUUAAGUCAUUAAACUGGGGUAGAGGCCAGGGCCAGGCCAAGUGGCGAGUACGUAUUUUUUUUAGUGGAAUAACUGCCAGCUGGAAUGAGAUCUCGUCCAAAGAUUAAUGAUUCUCGAAAGGCGAUGGACGGGAGAUGGACAGAGUUGGACAGGGAGAUCUGUCUGGUUGGGUGCAAAUUUCCCUGCAAUUAUUUCCAUAUCAACGUGAAUGCUCCGUGAAAAGUCGCGCGACUCGAGCAAUGAAAAACCGAUUUGCUGUUGUGACAAUUGUAAUUUUUCACUCGCUUGAUUUCAUUGUUUGGGGGAAACUGAUGCUGCCACCCACACCCACAGCCACUUCCUCAUCAGUUGCUUUCCGCUGCUCUGCAGAUAAUCAGAGGUUCCUUUUUGCCCCUCAGAUCCUUGUGCUUUUGGUUCUGCAUUUCAUUUAAAUGAUUACGGUUUUUCAUUUUCCCUUUUCCCCAUUUAUAUUCUCAGUGUGUUUUCUUUUCUUUUCUUUUCUUUGUUUUUGCGUCCGCCUGGCGACCAUCACGUGAGGCGUACAUUUUUCACUGGCCUCUCUCCUGAAGAGCGCCUGGGCCGUCUUUUGGGUAUAUUUUGCACUCCAUUGGCAGUCGGAGGGGUCUCUGGGAUGACCAAUUGGUUUUAUGGCCCACCAUCCUCCACACUUUAUGCCUCCUGUUUAUGUUGGCAAAUUUUCUUUUACGAUCCUUUUCAUUCCACUUCAUUUUGUUAAUCAAUUUGUGUGUUGGUGUCUGAGCGCACUGAAAGAGAGGCUGACUAAAACAACAUUCGCCUUCCAUCAAAAGAAAGGGAAAAAACGGCAAAGCAUUUGCUCACAAAAAGGAUAACUCAGUUGGCAGCUCAUUUCGCAGACAGACCAACUAAAAUUCAUUGUAUAAAAUAAAGUUAAAUUUACAAAACAAUUAUUCUUCAUGAGAGACAAAGAAACUUUAUUAUUUUUAAAAAUAAAAGUGGUUAUGCUGCAGGGAGAAUGCCGGCCAGAAAAUUUGAGCAGAAGCUAUCGAAUACCCAAAUAAAUUACAAAUAAAGAUGAUACUUUCAUGCAAAGUUCUCUCCGUUUUAAAUGAUGUUUUGCUGCUGAAACUUUACGCCACAAAAACAGUCGCAGACACAGUUUAAAGUAGUAUAGAAAGGAAAUGGGCAUAUUUAUGACCAAGAGAACUUUAAACUCAAAGUCGCAUAACUCUUUGUUAGGUGUGCUCCCGCUCUCAAGAGUUUAAUAAGUAUAACCCUGAAUAAGGCACAACUUUUGUGGUGGUGGGGAAACUGUUUUAUGCAUGCAAAAUAGUUGAAUAGUUUUUCGUUUUCCCACUCAAAAUUAGCUUGCCGCAAAUUGAAUACUUCUAACCAACAUGUACAUAUGUACAUAUAUCUAUGAAUGGUUGGACAAAAAUGUAGCUCAUGUAAAAAUAAUAUAAGUAUGCGGUUUCGACUGGCCCCAGCGCUUGCACAUGUCAAUUAUGCAAAUUCGUUUUUCGCUUUUAUGGCCACCACGAAAUGUUCCCAAAAUGUUUUUAUAAAUUCAUUAGGAAACUAGUCCUCUACUUCAUCUAUUUCUCUCUCUCUUUAGAGCUUUUCCCGCCUGGUCACAAAAAUGUUUGCCUAAUUUGAUUUUCUUCUCAACAAAAAGAAGAAAAAAAACACACAAGGAUAAAAGAUAGUUGGAGUGGGGUAAACUACAAAAUAAUAAGUUUAAAGUUUAGUUUGAUGAGGCGGAAGAAGCGUCAGUUUUCAGGAGAGAGCCAAACAAAUUUAAAGUCAUGUUAAAAUUGAAUAAAAACAUAAAGAAGAUAAGCUUCUAAGUUGGAGCUAUGUACAUACACCACACACGGAAAGUAGUGAAGACAUCUAGAAGACAUUGAAUAUAAUGGUUCCAUGCCCAAGCCAAAUCGAUCAAUAAAUAGCACGAUUUAGUGGUCAAUUUUUGCACCUUAAACCGAACCGCACCACACAUAAAAUGUAAUUCGAAUUUCAAUCAGUUAGACACCAUCAAAAUUAAAUUUAAAAUAAAUUACAAUUACCAAAAAUAUAAAAUAUGAGCCAAGCCACACGACCACUGACGGUCGACAUGAUACAAAAAUACUCGUAAAUGCAACAUUUUUAGAAUAUCUCUUGGCUCCCCCUCCACACCCCUUUUGGUUGUUGUGUGGCACCGACAGACCAGUCCCUAAACAUUGGCCCCCUGAAGCCCAGAAGCCAUCCAGAAAGAGAGUGCGGUCCCACUGAUGGGGCAUAGAGUAAUAUUUAUUAUCACAAAACAUUUGUGCAAAUGUCCUUCUCGCAUAAGCAACGGCGAUGUCGGCCGGUCCUUGGAGAACAUUUAUCUUAUUAUCUUUGCAGCAACAGCAACAAUGUCGCAUAAAUAAGACUCAGUACAGUCCGGAACAGCCAGAGCAACAACAAGGCCAACAAUGAGAUGAUGAGCAACAUUAGGCAAGGACAAACAAAAGCCAGAGCAGCAGGCUUCAACGAGGCUCAGACAAAAACCAAAAGCCAAGUCAAGCCAACAGACCGCAGAGCAGAAAACAACAACAACCAUACUCGCACUCGUAGAAGGGCCACAAUAAGAGCAACGUAAACAAUAAAAUACAUGUAAGAGAACUAUAGCCGAUAUACUAGCGGCUAUAUGGGAUAUGAGAUACCCCUCUGUAAGAGUUACUUAACGAAAAUCACACUCAGAUCAAAGGAGAAGGAAAUUCUUGAAAGGUGUCCACGGAAUAUUUGCCUGUAACUUGAGCUUGAAAUGCCAUAAUAAAUACAAAAAAAGUAUAUCCCUGUCCCCCAUAGAUUACAGGGCAGAAGCAGUUGCAAUUUUUGGCAAAAGCCUUGCUACCAUGACAGCCAUGGAAGAAGGGCUUUAGGCUGAAGCAGGGACAGAGACAGAGACAGGCCGCAAAAGUUGCUUAUACGCCCCCCCCCCUGUGCUUGCUUUUCUCCGCCUCUGGCAAUUCUUUUGCUCCCCCCCCCAUACUUCUAACUAUUUGUGUGUGUUGAUUUGCUUUGUUUUUCCCACCACACAGAAGCCUGGAAACUUUUUGCAUGUGGGAAAUUUUAUAAUUGAUUAAAGCCGCAUUUGCAUUGCGACUUACAAGCAGCUUAACAUUUUGCGUGUUCGUCCCCAUAUUAUUUUUUGGGGCUUUCUCUAUUCAUUUGUGUGCCUCUGGCCAACUUGCAAUUGAAAUUUGUUUGUAUUUUGCAUUUGUACUAUAGUAAUUAAAAAUCUACAGAGAGUUUCGGUGUCCCCUAGGCAAACGGAUUUACAAAAAAUGGUAAAAUAAAAAGUGUGGCAUAAAAUAUUUACACAAUUGCGGAAAUGCUGAAAGUGAUACUGUUAAGCCCGUGCCAGAAUAUUUGGACAUCAAACAUUGCGAGCAUCUGUAAAAAUAAUGGAUUAUAUUGGUGGAUUUAUUGUGCGGCUUUUUGUGUUUCAUUCGUUUGCAAGCAUUUUCGUCUGUUCUUUUUGUUUUCCUUCAAUGUUUUCCAUUUUCAACUUUAAACAUCAAGCUAGAAACCAUGAAAAAAUGCAAAACAUUUCUCCGCUUCUUAAAUAACAUUUCCGUCAACCAUUUUUCCAGAAGACACAAAAAAAACGGGACAAGAAAAAGGUAAAAGGGGCAACAACACAAAUGGCAACCGAAUUGCCCACGGGGAUUGCAGUUAAGCAGUAAGAUCCAGAGAGUGGAGUGCGGAGAGCACUCUCCUGGGUCUCCUCUGACUCUGACUGGGCCUAAGCCAAUCUGCUGCAAAUGGAAAAAUAAUAAAAUCAAAAGGCCAAAAAGCAGAGCCAAAGCAAAAACCAAAAACCAAUACAAACCCCAGUUAUGGGGGCCAACCGAAACUUUAGCAAUAAGCCAAACGGAAAACUUGGACUCAUAAUCAGGCGGUAAAGGUCGAACCAUUUCUUGUGGCUGCCAAAAAUGGAUGGAAAAUUCGAAAUAAAGAGAAUACGGAGGGUAUGAAUUUUCCUUAACGAUUUGCAUUGAUUUCUCGAGCCUUCUGGCUCGAUGCCCUGUGAUUCAGACAGAAGUUUAGCUCAUAUUUGAGCUGUUUCUGAAGGUAAAGGCUUGAACAUUAUUUUCAAUAAUUACUUUUAAGAACAAGAAAAGAGAGUAAGAAAAAGUAUCAGUUAUUAGAAGUCUCCUUAUUUCUUUGUCUAUUAUUUGCUUUGGUGGUUGAUGAAAAAUUAUUUAAAGUCUUGCCCACCACAUCAUUAAAGUUAGCCAGAAAUUGAAAUGCUGUCUGGCAGCAAUGUUGUUGUUGUUGUGUGGAAGAGUGGACGGAUCCUGCCAAUGUUUAUGCAAUCCUGUGGCCCCACAGCGGCAACUGCAACCGCAACACCAACAACUACAAAAACAGCAAGAACAUUUUACCAACUGGAACAACAGGAAUAACAACAACCAAGUCAUUUUCUUGUAAAACAUACACAACAUUUGGCCAUUUUUGACUGCGCCUGGGCUCCACAUUAUUCUGCUACCCAAACAGGAGGGCAUAACGAUUUUAUGCAGACGUUUGUCAUUCAGAAAUAACUGAAAAGGCCAUCGAUAUCCAUCUGUCAGCUUCUAUGGCAACUAGUCAUUAGGGCGAGCUUGUACAUUGCUUCAGUACAUCAUACAUCGCCCAUACCAAUGUGAAUUUUAUUUUGCCUUUAAUUCGUUAUAAAUUUGGAAAUAUGUUUAUGUAAGGGUAUCCAAAUCUUUGCUGCCAGCUUUCUAUAUAACUUCACUUUUUUAUUGUUGUUGUUUUUGCUGCUGCAUUUUGUUGUUGGGCCAUUUUAGUAGACAAGUUUUUGGCAGUUGUUGUUUUUCAAUAUUUGCUGCUGCUGCCGCGCUAUCGCUGCAACGACAGGCGCUAUUGUGGUUAUAUUUGUUGUAUCUGCGGCUGGCUCUGCUAUGGUGUAUGUUCUUUAAUCGGUAGGGUUAAGGGGUAUACCCGGUUGUACUUAUCUGAUAGCAGGAAUGCCAAUAGGUACAGUCAGAGACACGGGUUUAUAUUUUACUGCACGUAAAAGUGUUUUUUUUUUUUGUUUACUAUUUUAUUUUCUUACAACAGAUACUUACUAGUCGACUCCAUAAAAAUAAACCCACAAAAUAUUUAUCUUUUCUCCUAUAUUGUCUAUUUUUUGUUUGGUUUGGUGGUUGUUGCUGGCGUCGAUUUUUCCUUCAGCAUUCGCACAAUUUCCGUUGUCAGUCGUGUGUUUUGUGUUUUGCUCGCUUUGCUACUAAUUUUUGCCGCAUGUUCAUGAACCAAAAAAUUGCUGUUGCUCACAUUGCCAUGCAGCCCCAUGCCAAGCCACAGUCAGAUCCGCACAUCCUGUCCCCACUCAUUGGAGCCAUUCCCGAGUCAACUCUUAGUUCGUUCGAGUCCAACCUGUACCACGGAGUAUUACGUGUCGAUAUAGCCAAAUGUGUCUUUAAUACCCCUAUUUCCGGGUGAAUAGAGAUUCAAAGACCCUUCUUUUUAUUGAUAAAUGGAAUGAUAAAUCUGCUAGGGUAUCAUGAAGCUGUUUCUCUUACUUGUUGUUGAAUUUUUGUGUGUUAUUGUUGUUAAAGUUGUAUGCUUGUUGUUGUUGUUGUCAUUGUUGGUGGAUUUUCUGAGUUUUUUGUUGUCUGACAGUUGGCAGGAAAAAUAUUAACGAUGCCAGAACGAGUUUCAAAACACACGCAGAUGUACACACAUUUUUGCCUUGUAUGCUUUGCCUUUUCUUCUUUUUCUCUUUUGUUGCGAAAAAUAUUUACUAUAGUUUUACCGUUAUUCUCGGUUGGUUAUGCUCCUGUUUUUUCCGUUGCCCUUCGUUCGCACAGUUUUGCAAACUAUUUUGCCAUAAUUGCGGCACAUUGUCGUUGCCAUUAGCUCUCUCUUUCACCACCACAUAAUACUGUCUCUUUCUGUAUUUUUGUUGGUAUGCAUGACACACUCGUGUCCGCAGUUUUUAUCCACACUUUAAGAACAUUUAUUCAUAUUUUUUAUAAUAAUUGAAUUUAUUUUUGGCAACGCGCGUUUCAUGUUAAUUGGAAGCGAAAUUGACGUAAUGAAAUUUGAUGGUUUUUAAUCGAAUAUAAUAAAUAAUUGACUGGAAUAUCUGUUUUGGGUAUGUUCUUCAGAAAAAUACAAAGGCACAAGAAAGGAAAUACACUCAGAAAAUGUCAUCAUUGAUUAACAAUAUUCCAUCUGUGGACUUUCUUGUGUUUUGUCUCAAUUACACAGAUAAAAGUCUCAAUUAAAAAUAGUAUUCGACUAAAGCUACAUAUAUAUUCUGGUGUAAGUAUUUUAUUUUUAUUUAUUUAUAAUACAGAUCGAGUAUAACUCUUCUUUACACUCUUUUACACUUAAAUCUCUUGAAAUUCUUGGACUUUUCCAGUGUACUCCUAUGACAUGGUUGCUCAUUAAAGGAAAAAACCGAAUAAUACUCCUCUCGUUCUCUUUUGAGUGCCAUGUGCAGCUUCAUCUCACAUCGCACGGGAAGCUUGCAAGUAAUUAAAAAAUAUACCCAAAUUACAGGGCACAAUGAGAACACAACAACGGCAAAAACAACAAGAACAACAACAACAACAGCAUCGACGAUGGCAAACGGCAAUCAUAAUGAUUGCAUGAACGUAAUGCAAUUUAAUGGCCAACAAUGGAGGAGCGGACAGUGCCAACUGAUGGGCGUAACCACACUCGGACGGAGGCUUGAAGUGUUGCAGAUAUUGGUCAAAAGUGCCGCCAAUACUGUGCCGGACAUUGAACUGCAGAUGGAAGCGAAUCUGGACAGUGGGAUGCGAUGUGGUGGCCAGAGGUGGGACAACAAAAGCCACAGCCAGAGAGCCGAAGCCGAAGCCGUCGAGAGAUAAACGCCCACAUGGGCAGCUAUCCGGACAGGAUGAACUGAUGGACGGACAGCGACAAAGUGCGUUCACAUAAUAAUAAUGGAAAUAAUUUAACUUAUUGGAUUUUAAUGGGAUUACACAUGCGCAACAUGGCCGCUGCGGGUAUUAAAAGUUGGUCAACUUCCCGGACACGGACCCUGGACUGGACCAAACCAGACCAAAGCGAAUGACUGUAAUGGCCCUUGGCCAGCUCCUGGCCAACGGAAAUUCCGGCCAACCCAUGAUGAUAAAGAUAAUGAUGAUGUUGAUGGGCCUUAUCCUCCCACACCGAACAGGGAGCGGCAGCGGCCCAUUUCAUGCUGAUUGCUGUGAUUGCCGC